AUCGCUUCUCGGCCUUUUGGCUAAGAUCAAGUGUAGUAUCUGUUCUUAUCAGAAAAAGGGGGCCUAAAAGAAGCAGCAUGUGUAGAUUCAUGGAGUUUGGAAACAAUAUUAUGUUUUACAAAUUUAAGUAAUUCUGAAAGACUAAACCAU
rnacentral:snRNA from 1 species